ACGGGUGAGUAACGCGUGGGAAUCUACCGUGCCCUGCGGAAUAGCUCCGGGAAACUGGAAUUAAUACCGCAUACGCCCUACGGGGGAAAGAUUUAUCGGGGUAUGAUGAGCCCGCGUUGGAUUAGCUAGCUGGUGGGGUAAAGGCCUACCAAGGCGACGAUCCAUAGCUGGUCUGAGAGGAUGAUCAGCCACAUUGGGACUGAGACACGGCCCAAACUCCUACGGGAGGCAGCAGUGGGGAAUAUUGGACAAUGGGCGCAAGCCUGAUCCAGCCAUGCCGCGUGAGUGAUGAAGGCCUUAGGGUUGUAAAGCUCUUUCACCGGAGAAGAUAAUGACGGUAUCCGGAGAAGAAGCCCCGGCUAACUUCGUGCCAGCAGCCGCGGUAAUACGAAGGGGGCUAGCGUUGUUCGGAAUUACUGGGCGUAAAGCGCACGUAGGCGGAUAUUUAAGUCAGGGGUGAAAUCCCAGAGCUCAACUCUGGAACUGCCUUUGAUACUGGGUAUCUUGAGUAUGGAAGAGGUAAGUGGAAUUCCGAGUGUAGAGGUGAAAUUCGUAGA
rnacentral:rRNA from 1 species